ensembl:snoRNA Gm22200 predicted gene, 22200
GUGCAAUGAUGUAUUUGUCACAUCAUUCUGAAGUUUGUGGUGACUUGUUAUUACUGAGCACA